CCUACGGGAGGCUGCAGUGGGGGAUAUUGCACAAUGGGGGGAACCCUGAUGCAGCGACGCCGCGUGGGUGAAGAAGCGCCUCGGCGCGUAAAGCCCUGUCAGCAGGGAAGAAAAUAACGGUACCUGAAGAAGAAGCCCCGGCUAACUACGUGCCAGCAGCCGCGGGAAUACGUAGGGGGCAAGCGUUAUCCGGAUUUACUGGGUGUAAAGGGGGCGCAGACGGCGGUGCAAGCCAGGAGUGAACGCCCGGGGCCCAACCCCGGGACUGAUCUUGGAACUGCGUGGCUGGAGUGCAGGAGGGGCAGGCGGAAUUCCUGGUGUAGCGGUGAAAUGCGUAGAUAUCAGGAGGAACACCGGUGGCGAAGGCGGCCUGCUGGACUGCAACUGACGUUGAGGCCCGAAAGCGUGGGGAGCAAACAGGAUUAGAUACCCUUGUAGUC
rnacentral:rRNA from 1 species